AGUGUGAGAAUUCUGUCUGAAUAUUGUGACAUCACCAGAGGCUCACAGUAGCUCUCUAGCAAUGGUCCCUAGCAGAAAAGGAGGCACAGAGAUGCAGAUGGAGAAUUCAGAGCAUGGAUUGCAGGCAAGUUCAGUGCGAUUCAAGCAGCCCCACAUACCAAUGCUGAGAUUUGAAGAGCUAAGCCGCUAGGAUGCACCCUGGGAAAAGGCUUGUGCAAUGCAGUCCUAGAAAAACUAAAACCAAAGCUGGACAAAUGAUCUUCUUUGUCUAUUCACAGCUCAAAUCCUAUAAAAGACUAUACCCAAGAGCACCAGAAAAACAACAUAGGAGCUGAAUUUCCUACAUUCGAACUACUACUCUUUACUUGAGCUUAACCAAAAGGCUUAGAGAUGAUCUCUCCAAACCACUCUUGUCAGAAUCUGCCUGGAGACAGGGUUUCACCAUGUUGGACAGGCUGAUCUCAAACUCCUGACCUCAAGUUGUCCGCCUGCCUCAGCCUCCCAAAGUGCUGGGGUUACAAAGCACGUGCUGAUUGUACUUCAGGAAGAGUCUCUAAAAUUGUAAAAAAGAAACUUCAAAAACAGGCUCAAGUGGUUUCUACUCCGCCAAAAUUGCUGGGCUUUAGAUUAUCCAAAAUGAAACUUGCAUUUCUGGCCAUGGAUGAUUUGACUGAGGAUUCAUGCCUUCAUUGCCUAAGGCAAUUACGGAUGGAUUUGGUACUAGAGAAGACAUCCACUUCCACCUAGUCUGGUUGAAACUCCAUGCAAUAGGAGGGCCUCUUGUGAACAAAUCAAAUCCUCUUUUUAAGGAAAUAAAAAUUAUCGAUGAAAAUGGA